rnacentral:lncRNA from 1 species
CAAAAUAUGAAAAACAUAAACGAGAAAAUCCGAAAGUUCAAAGAAAAACACAAAAGGCCCAACUCCAAAAAAGAAACCCAUCAAAAGCCCAAAAAUACCUGACCCGAACUAACCGAAGCAAAUCAAUCCAUAAACCCGACAUCACGAGAGAAACCAACGAUCAACGAUCUCCGUACCCAGAACUCUGAUCGACAAUGGCCGCCACUGCAUCCUUGGACUCCUUCGGAAGCUUGAUACUGUUCUUCAGCUUCUCUCUCUUGCUCGCCACCGACGGCGACUCCUCUAGCAUCCUCUGAAGACCUCCGCCAGCUCUUGGAUCCACCAUCUCCGCCACAAUCUCCUUCUGAAACUAAUAAUUCACGAGAUUCUUCACUGACAGCUGAAGAUACAGAGCAAGACUGUCCACAAUCCUUCGUAAGACUAUCGUCCAGUAAGAUGCUAUCCUCAUCUUCAUAUCGAAGGCUUGCUGCAGGAGAUGAGCAUGAUACUUCCGUAGGUGAGAGAUCUUCACAAUUCCACCAAAUCCAGUCAACGAGAAGUGCUCAGGCUUUUUCCCAUCGGACAACACAGCAUAAAUGAAGUUUUGUUGUUCAGCAGUCAUCUGAGUCCAAGACGUCAUGUACUCAGGGUUACAUGUGUAAUCAGUCAGCUUCUCCAUUUCAACAAUCUCCAACACUCGCUCCACAGAGUGUUCCUUGAUCUUGGUGAUUAGAUUUCGACCAGCACGUUUGAUGGCAGAUUGGAUCUGUGGGAAGUUUUCAGAAUACUUGGCAAUGACGGAUGAGAGAACAACUUCAAUGUAGUCCCAUAUCUUCUUGAUGAACUCCACGGGCUUGACAUGUAUGGCAUCUUCGUGUUGUGAUAGUAUAGCCAAGAAGGCUGACCUGGGGAUGAAAUUGGGCAGUCCAACACACUUGCAUUCGUCAAGGAUCUUGAUCUCAUUCAUCAAGAACUCGGUCACUUCCUUUGGCUUCUCUUGCAGAUUAUCGGAGAAUUGGCUUAACAUGUCAGCCAAACGAGCAGUACAGUGCAUGUUCUGGUCAUCCGGGAAUUCAGAGAAGUCUCCUUGGACAAGGAUUCUGAAGAGGGACUCCUUGGCAGAACCAAUGAUGUCCAUCAAUGCCAUCAAUGCUUCUCCGGUAGAAGCCAUAACCAUCGGUAGCUUGUUCAACUCCAGGACAGCAGUUUCCAUCUUGUGAUUGAUCUUGCGAACGAUUUCAGGCAAACAGCGGGAAAUCAUCGUUGCUUGGAUAAGCAUUAGCUUCUGAGCUAUAACAGGGAUUCCCACGAUGUCUUCAUCAAUCAAGCUCAGCAUCGGGUGAGUCCUGAAGAGCAACUCUUCUUGCAUUCUAGCUUGUUCAUACGCUCUUCUCCAAUGCGGUUUCUGACACAGACGUAACCUAGACCAAUACUCACAUCAUCCGCAGUUACUUUCUGUAGGAGACCUUCGGGAGCCAUGUCUGCCUUGGUGACAACGGCCAGAGUCCGUUCACAUACGGAUGGAUUCACAGGUGGUGAAGUCGACUGUAGCUGACAGAACAUUGAGGAUUAUUGAUUCUUGUGGCUCGAUGUACUUCAUGAUCAUCCCAGAAAUCUGUUCGUAAAUAUUCUCCGGUUGUCCAUUCACUGGCCUCGAGUUAUACCGGGAAGAUCGACCAUGCACAGAUAGCUUCAGCGAUGUGCUCCUCAUCCGUGGGAACAAUCUUGUCACUGUACUCAAGCCAUAUCUCAGGUACAGGGCUAGAGCUUCGCUGAAGUCGCAUGACAAGAGGAACCCUAGUGCAGAUUCCUUGGCCACGAGGUAGACUGAUUCCUGCCAACGAGUCGAGGACACUUGACUUCCCCGAGGACUGGUCUCCAACCACGACAAUGGUGGGAAGCUGAAUGCCUUCUCUCAUCACAUUGAGGUUCCUUAGACGGUCAACCGUGUCAAGCAACGGCCUAAUCCUAUCGUUAUAUGAAGAUAUAAUCGGUGCUUCGAUGGGAACAACUUCUCUGUUGUCAUGAGGAUUCGCCUGGACAAUUGCAAGAGAAGGAGAAGAGGUUCUAGUGACAACAUGCUUCUUACUACCUCCCAUUUGUGUUCUUUUAGAGAUAAGACAAGAGUAGAAGAUAUAAAAGACAGAAAAGAGAAGUUCUAUGGGUAAGUGAGAUUCUUCUUAGAGAUAUGCAAAGAUAUAUAUAGAGAUAUUAGAAGGGCUUUGUGUAUACGAAGAAUUUACGAAGCAAGUAAAUUGCAUGAAAGGAUGCAAGUAGCGUGCAUGUUGGAAUUGAAAAAAGCUAAUUAAGUCAGUAAUUGCACCUAUAUCUAGCUCGUAGUUGAAACUAAAACGUCUCUCUUAAGAUGUGUAUUUGAAUAUUUUAUUGGUUCCAAUUGGCUGAAUUCUUUUGUGGUGAAGUUUGGAAUUUUGACUAAAGGCGUAACUUGAUAAUUUUCG